AUUGAACGCUGGCGGCAGGCCUAACACAUGCAAGUCGAGCGGAGCGGCUGACGGGUGAGUAAUGCCUAGGAAUCUGCCUGGUAGUGGGGGAUAACGUCCGGAAACGGGCGCUAAUACAGCAUACUAUCAGAUUAGCUGAGGUCGGAUGAGCUAGUUGGUGGGGUAACGGCCAACCAAGGCGACGAUCCGUAACUGGUAUGAGAGGAUGAUCAGUCACACUGGAACUGAGACACGGUCCAGACUCCUACGGGAGGCAGCAGUGGGGAAUAUUGGACAAUGGGCGAAAGCCUGAUCCAGCCAUGCCGCGUGUGUGAAGAAGGUCUUCGGAUUGUAAAGCACUUUAAGUUGGGAGGCGUUACCAACAGAAUAAGCACCGGCUAACUCCGUGCCAGCCGCCGCGGUAAUUC
rnacentral:rRNA from 1 species